rnacentral:rRNA from 1 species
AACGAACGCUGGCGGCGUGGAUAAGACAUGCAAGUCGUGCGGAGAUCUACUGGUAGCAAUAUCGGAAGGUCUUAGCGGCGGAAGGGUGCGUAACGCGUGGGCAAUUUGCCCAGAAGCCCGGAAUAACCCCGAGAAAUCGGAGCUAAUGCCGGAUGUGAUUUUUGAAUGGCAUCAUUUAAAACUCAAAGCCGGGGACCGCAAGGCCUGGCACUUCUGGAUGAGCCCGCGACCUAUCAGCUAGUUGGUGAGGUAACAGCUCACCAAGGCUAUGACGGGUAGCUGGUCUGAGAGGACGACCAGCCACACUGGAACUGAGACACGGUCCAGACACCUACGGGUGGCAGCAGUCGAGAAUUUUUCACAAUGGGGGAAACCCUGAUGGAGCGACGCCGCGUGGGGGAUGAAGGGCUUCGGCUCGGUAAACCCCUGUCAUGGGCGAUCAAAGCAACUGUCUAAAUAGGGCAUUUGUUGAUAGUAGCCUAAGAGGAAGGGACGGCUAACU